ACUGAACAUCACACUGAGAUCUGACAGCGCAGCAGGAUCUGAGGGGUUUCUCCUUUAAUGUGAUGCCAAACUGUCUGCUCAUCAGCGGUGAAUCCCACCUUUGCUGGCAGCACUCGCACUUGUUCAACGUUACAGUUUGAUACACACACGCUGGUGUCUUUUUUUCACUUCCUGUUUGUAUUGGUUGUGUGCAGACAAAGGGAUGUGUCAUUCCUAAACUACCUCUGUAUUUUUCACACCGUUACUAAUGUUCAUUACACCAAUGUUUUUUAUGAGUUGACCUUACAUGUGAACCACCAACACUUGUUUUCUUCUUCGUAGCCUUGUAUUCCUCUCUACCUCAGGUACUUUUAGGGACCCUCUUCCUCCUUUGUUUCCUUAAUGUGCUGUUUCAUGUUAAAUUAGCAUCAUCUUAUAUUUCACUCCUACCCUGUUAUCAAAAAUCACAUACCAAAGAUGAACGAAUGUCAAUGACAAUGUCAGUGCACUGAUUAAGCAUUCAUGUGUUAUGUUCUGGCUGAAGUUAACCAGUGUUGCAUUUUUCCAUGUUGACCUUAUCCAAAUAUGCCUCAUUAUCUGUUGAAUUUGCUGUAUUCGCCAUACCAUGAUAAUCCUGUGUGUGUGUGUGCGCGCGCAUGCACGUGCGUGUUUGUUGUUCGUUGGUGAAGCAGAGAACACACUCAGUAUUAUCCCACAGCAGCCGGUGCUGCAUGUGAUCAGUUGUCAAUCGCAGGAUAUGACCAUAUUAGGGAUUCCUGUUCAAACUGACUUCAUACAUGUUGGUGGGCCUGGAGCAUUGUGUUUUUAUGCAGACGCACACACAAAUAGACAUUUAGGCCCAUAUUGCUUGUCCUGGAUGGAGCUCCAUCCCCUAAUUCCCUGUAACUGACAACACUAUAGACGGAACAGCAGGUGUCCAGCUGUCAGAGCUUUGUUACAGGCACACGAGGAGCACACCGGCAACAUAUCUCAGGGAACAAACAGAUUCAUACACGGUCAUCAGAAACUGAAACGCCAUUUCUGUCUUUUCUCUUCAGAAAUCUCUUGUCUGCUCUUGUUACUUUAACUACCUGUGAAGAAUGUGAUCCAUUAUGUGUUAAAAGCAUGUUUAGAAUGUGUUAGGACUUGAAACAAAAUAAAUGUGAACAUUAUGCAAGUGCACUCGGCUAACUUCCAGUUUCUCGCUGUCCAACUCUUGGCUUUUCUACGGGGAAGAUGAUAGAAACUAAUGAGACCGUGUUCCUUUCAGUCACUGAUAGGCAGAAGGUCUGCCGUUAAAAGCUGAGGGACCGGAAUUUGGAUGCGUUUGUCCCUGACCUUCUGCUUCGUGUACUCCAGUGUGUUGUUCACAGCGAGAUAGUAUUAUUAGGAUAAACACAAAAUGUGUUUGAGC
ensembl:lncRNA